UGAGGAAUAUUGGUCAAUGGACGAGAGUCUGAACCAGCCAAGUAGCGUGCAGGAUGACGGCCCUAUGGGUUGUAAACUUCUUUUGUUUGGGAAUAAUCGACAUUACGUGUAAUGUUUUGCAUGUACCAUUCGAAUAAGGACCGGCUAAUUCCGUGCCAGCAGCCGCGGUAAUACGGAAGGUCCAGGCGUUAUCCGGAUUUAUUGGGUUUAAAGGGAGUGUAGGCGGUUGGUUAAGCGUGUCGUGAAAUGUAGAUGCUCAACAUCUGACUUGCAGCGCGAACUGGCUGACUUGAGUACACACAACGUAGGCGGAAUUCAUGGUGUAGCGGUGAAAUGCUUAGAUAUCAUGAAGAACUCCGAUUGCGAAGGCAGCUUACGGGAGCGCAACUGACGCUGAAGCUCGAAGGUGCGGGUAUCGAACAGG
rnacentral:rRNA from 1 species